UGGAUCCCCCGUUGAUUGCCUUCCGAAAUUUUCACGAAAAAUUGCCUUCCGAAAAUUUCAAGGGGUCAUAGUGCCUUCUGCUCAAACAUUUUGGGUGCGUUUGAUAAUAGAGAAAACAUGGGAAAGUCUCUGACCUUCUUGAAAUAUUUUGAGUGCGAAUGAUAACUGAGAAAACAGGGGAGAGACUGGCUCCUUUAGUGUUGUCUAUGGAUAUAAUUGAUUCUUCAAAUGGGUCUCUAGAACUUUGAGAUGAUUUUGGUCUCUCUCUCUCGACAUUGUGCUUGGAGGUUUCAUUCAUACCUCUCUAGAUGUUUAAUGGGGUUUUUGUGUUAACUAUGGUUUUGCAUUAGAGAAUACCCAAAUCUAAUAUACAGUUUUUCUGUUAAAGAGAUUAUACGGAAUAUCAAUACCCAACUUUAACAGGGUCAAGUUGGUUUAUUCUACUCAUUUAACUGAAGAAUCAUUCACAGGUUUUUAGGGUUAAUAGUGGUUGCGAUCAACCAGCGAGAUGGACACGGAUAAGCGAGAUGGUGGCUUUGCUCUAAUUCACACAUUCUUCUACCUCAUCGCAUCGCAGGUUAUAUCUCGGGCACUAUCGUUUCUUCUUAAUUUGCUGAUUGCCAGGCAACUUACAGAGGUGGACUAUGCGCUUUAUGCAAUACAAUUUCAUCUUUUGGUUACGACAAUUUUAUUCCUCAGUCGUGAGGGCUUUCGACGGGCUUGCAUGAGGACAGAACUCUGGGAUGAGGGGUCUAUGGAAGAAAAUGGUUCAAAACUCUUAGCUGUAGCAUGGAUAACUGUCCCAAUUGGUUUUCUUCUAACAAUUGCAGCAUGUUCUUUUGUUUUAUGGUGGCAAAGCCUCAACCUUUCUGGAAAAUAUGCACAAGCUGUUCUCAUUCAUGGUUUUGCGUGCAUUUUGGAGAUUCUGGCUGAACCUUUAUACAUUCUUGCUCAAAACAUGCUUCUUUUCGGAUUAAGACUUAAGGUUGAGACUGCAGCAACAACUUUACGAUGCAUGACAACAUACUUUCUCAUCAUUAAUCAGACCAAUGAGGGGAAAGAGUUGGUCUUUGCUUUAUCGCAAGUUGCAUAUGGGGCUUCCUUGUUUGUAGGCUACUGGGGAUAUUUUCUUAGCUUAUACAUAUUCCAAAAUCAGAAUUUUAUCACACCUGGCUUCCUUUUCCCUCUCAGAGUAUGGGAAGAAAAGACGUAUGACCGGCAGCUUUUGCUGAUGUCUUUCCUGUUCACAUUCCAGUCCUUCCAAAAAUUGGUCCUUCAGGAAGGGGAGAAGCUCAUUAUUGUACUUUUCGAUACUCCUUAUAACCAGGGCGUAUAUGGCCUUGUAGACAAACUAGGUAGUUUGGUUGUGAGAUCAGUGCUUCAGCCUUUUGAAGAAAGUUCCUUCACAAUAUUUGCAAAGUUUGCUUCAGGACGCAUUACAACUAAGAGCUUUGGCCUAGAGAAUAUCUUUCUGCUGGCACUAAAGCUUGUGAUCUUAUUAGGCCUUGUUGUGUUGACGUUUGGUCCGAGCUACUCAUAUGUUCUCAUUAGAAUAUUGUAUGGGAGGAAAUGGAGUGAUGGAGAAGCUUCUGAAGCUCUUGCCUGCUAUUGUCUGUAUGUCCUUGUCAUGGCAGUUAAUGGAACAACUGAAGCUCUUUUACAUGCCGUUGGCACUAAACAACAGCUUGUUUGGUCUAAUGCAUCACUCGUCCUAUUCUCUGGCAUUUAUAUAGUCCUAAAUAUUCUGUUGGUUCAAAGUGCUGGAGCAAUUGGGCUAAUUGUUGCGAACUCCUUAAGGGCGGGCAGGAAGCUAGCCGGAGUAGUAGCUCUGGGGCAGGUUCUUCGACUGGAUCAAUGCAUGUAUGAACCCGUAGCCGCUAAUCAACAGGACCUGGCAAUCUUCCUUCCUCGUUUCCUCUACCCGCUUCUAUUUUGGGCAGGCAAAAUUGGCCAUCGAGAAAAUCAUCUUUUGCCGGAUUCCCGUAAGAAAGAGGUUCGCGCUUGGAGGAAGCUUGAACCGAAUAUCUCCAAAUCAUGUCCUGUAUUUUGGUCUAUUGUGAAUUGAGGCAGAUCUCAUGGACGGAACAUGAAUAUUGUUGCAAAUUUUGUCUAUUGCCUGUGAACUGAAAAUCCUGCUCUAUCCUUUUCCAAUUGCUGAAUUUCUUCUUGGUUCCCUUUUCUAGUCUGUUGCUUCGUUUGUGGUGGAUUCAGGGUUUUACUCCUGCUCUGCUACCAUGUUAGAGUGCAAGUAGUUUUUCUAUUUCAUGUUUUGAUUAUCGAAAUUUGGCUUCAUGUAGAAUGCUUUAUAAUAAUUUUUAGUUUAGAAUAGGAAGAAAUCCUUUUGGUGCUUGCAUAGUUUCUCAGUAGGUUGUCCAGUUGUUUCAUGAUAUAUGAUUUUCUUAGAACUAAGAUCUAUUUCAAUGCAACUGGACUUGACAUACCGAUUUAGAAUUCGAGCACACCAUGAUAUUGAGAUGUAUGCAUGCAUUAUGAAUUCUCAGGUCUCUCAUUGGAGGGAGCACAUAAAUUUUCUGCCCUGCAUAUUUGAGUAUAUUUUGUCAGCAUUACUUGGAAUGUUUUGUUUGUUCUUCAUACUCCUUAAUCUAUUCUUUGUUGUUCUUGACCACCAUUCUAGAUAUGAUGCUGAGGAUUAUCUAUUCAACACUUUUCAUCAAACGCUUUUUUAGGGACUCUCCAUCAUUUGGUUUUCGUCAUUGCUUGCCUUCAGCUGGAG